rnacentral:lncRNA from 1 species
GCUACAAGAAAAUACAGAUUUUUUCCCUUGGUCAUAAACAUGAAUUUGACAUUGGUACAUAGGUAUACAAGUUAUCAUAUAUAAAAUACAAAAGAAAAUGAAUGGAUAAGGCUGAUAAAAACUCACACAAUAAUCUUGAAAAUUGUCAAAUGGUCUUAAGCAAUGAACAAAGUGUCCAUGUCUUUAAACAAAACCGAGACAGC